rnacentral:snoRNA from 1 species
UUUCAUGAUGAAUUUGAUUUUUUAUUCUUAUCUACAUUAUCUGAAUAAUAGCUAACAAUAGUUAUAAUUGAAGAUACGCUAUCAAUAAAUUCUGAGA